GGCCUGAGGGGAGGCGGGUGGGGGCGGCAGAUGCCGAGUGGGGCCGGUGGGUGGACUGUGGCUGCAGGUGCUGGCGCGGAAGGAGCCGGGGAGCCCUGGCGGGCCGGGGUCGCUGCUUACCUGCUGCACAGGUCCUGGAAUGCAGUUGAGGUGGUGGCUGCCCUCACGCGAAAAGCAAAAGUCGCAUCAUAUUUGGUGUUUCUUGUGCCCAGUGCGGGGCCGCGAUGGUCGCGGGCACUACGCUACCGUUUGUAAAAGUAGCGUUCUAGGACCGGCUGAUGGUACAGCUGGGAACACUGAUAGUAGCUGUCAGAAAUGGGAGAACAAUUAAACAGCUGCAGCACAAAUUAAAAUGUAUAGGUAUUGGAUGCUGUUGGCAUUAUGCGUCCUUGUGCAAAAGUAAAGCUGCUCAAGUACUUUCGGUUCCUGCAUACGAGAUGGAAGUAUUUUUCGAAGUUGUUUAGCUACUCGGUGUAAAUGCAGUCACUACAGAGGCUUGUUGCUUAGUUCUUGUGUUGCUGGUCCUCAGUAGCUUCCAUACUGCUUCAGCAAACUGGACCUUCAUGUGCUCCUUUGUCAUUGUUAGUUAAAACUAAAUCUUUAAAUAUUGAUACUGUGUAUUUGGGGAUCCUAAAAUCUCUUAUGUUCCAUUGAAAUUGCCUUGCAGUGCUAUAGCUAAAAAUUAUUCUUAUUACAGAACUGGCACAGAUGGUACCAGCGGCAGAGAUAGCUUGUUGGGCUUUGCUUCUUUCGGGACUAUGGGUCUGGGACUGCUUCUGCAAUAUAACAAAGAUUCUUUUUGAUAUGUGAUCUGCAGGAGCCACUUGCAGCUGUGCUAAGGAGUAACACUGGCAGCUUGGGAGAAAAAAGAUGCCUCUUUCGUUUUCCCAAAGACUUGUUCAUCGAACUAGUUCGUGUAGUGUUUAUUUUUACAAGGCCAUGGACUUUGCGUUCUGUCACUUCGCUGUUGGUUGCUGUAACGCCAGUGUUCCUCUCAGGUGACUGUGUGGCAUGAUGAGCCUUGCGUUAUUGUAUCUGGAGAACUUCAGCUGUGGGAUUGUAUUUUAGCUUUCUUAGUAGCUUAAAUGCUUGGAUAAAACACCCCGUGUUUUACUUUGCUGUUAUAAGUAAGGACAACAUAUCAGCACAGUAAAGUCUGCUGCCACAAUUUUCUAACUGCUCAGAAAAUUGUAGUUCUCAGAUACUCGAGUCCACUUCAAAUUAUAGGUGGCCCAGCCUGAAGAAGGGAACCCCUGCCAUCUGUUGUGGUACCUGCAUAAAAAGAAAGUACUUUGAAAUCCUGGCAUAGGUAAGUGACUGAAUGAGCAGUUCAACACUGUAAAGGAAAGACUGAUCCAAUAGUAAAUGCAGGAAAAUUAUAUGGUUAGAACUUAAUGUUCGGAACAGCUUUUUGUUUUUUUUUUAAAUUUUAUUAGAGUGUCCAAAGUAAUGACUACAAUGUCUUCCAAAAAAUAUUGCUAAUGCCUGUUAGGUAUCUGUUUAGAAACAAAACCACCUCCACCCUCAAAUCCCCAAAGCAAAACAAAACCCAGCAGUAUAAUAGUAAAUUUUUUUUUCCCGUAGAAAGCUUCCUUGGUAAUGCAGUCAAAGGCAUGUGGAACUGUUUCCGGAGUUGUUGUAUUCUGUUUUGCCACCAAGUGUUGUCAAAAUUCAUUUAAAUGGAGGUCAUUUAACAAUAAAUCCAGUUGUAGGACUGCGUCUGAAAUAGGUUUAUUUUUAAAUAGUGCAACAGGUAUUUCUUAAACCUGCAUAAGGUACUUUUUGUUGUAAAAUUGAAGUAUUUCAGGUUAUCAAGGUGAAGAUACUAAAUUGGGUUGGUUUCACCCCCCCCGCAAAGUUUGUCAUUGCCAUUCCAGGCAUCUAUGGGACAGCCAGUGCCAGGAGCAGUGCCAAAUGCUCAUGCCUCAUGGUGCAUGCUCUGGGUGUUCUGCAUAUGCUGGUACUUAAUCUGCUGCUGCUGACCCCGUGCUGACUUACUUCAGUGCUAUUGCUGGACAGUAGAAAUAGCGUAGCGUAACGUUCCCAGUGAUAAUCAUGCCUCUUCAGGUAAAAUGUACAGUUUUCAACAAUAAUUGUAACUAUAGUACUGUAAACUACAGACUUGAUAGACAUGUUGCUGUUUAAUAAGUUAAAAUGAAUCAAAAUAUGUUGGCAGUUCACAUUCAGAUUCUCACUGCCAUCUUGAAAUAGUGUUUCUUCUUUAGGUUUACUGUACCUUAUUAUACAUGUUAGCGCUAUAAUUCUGUGUGCAGAUCACAGAAGCUUAAAAGCAAGUUGUGAUACUUUUGAGACUACGUUUUCGACUGGCUUUGUUCUGUACUGCUGUCGUGGUUUAGCCCCAGUCAGCAACCCAGCCCCACGCAGCCGCUCGCUCACUCCCUGCAGUGGGACGGGGAAGAGAAUCGGAAGAGUAAGAGCGAGGCAACUCAUGGUUUGAGAUAAAGACAGUUUAACAGCACUCAGAUUAGAAACUUGCAGUUAUGAUAUCCAUGUAGGAAAUAUCCUUGUACGUACAAAGGACUUUAGUGGAAUCUUGGUAUCACUUUGAACCUGUUGGUGAUUAUGAGAAACUUGAGUUUUAAAGUCUCUAAACUGGUAAUUAAUGUGAAUACUCCUGCUUAUUAGUGGUGUGACUACUUUAUUGCUGUGGGAAGUUAUUUCUGGAUCACCACAGUAGACUGGAAAUUAUUGGUAAAAAAGCACCAUGGCACCCUGAGCACUCAACUGCUGGAGGAAAAGAGGAUCGCCAACCUGUCAAAGUUCGUGCUUGGAAGAACUGCUGUGAAAGGAAGCUAUUGUAGAGUUUUUAACCUUCCCACUUGAUCUGAUGAUGCGCUUCGAGUGAAUACUUCAAUUUUUAAGUGCACAAUUUACAGCAAUAAAUAUUUUUUGCAUUUUCCUGUAUUUGGAAGCAUGGCUUUUUUAAUCUCUACAUGUAUAAUUCCAGAAAAUUGUUAAGCUCAAGAGCUUAAUAAAAAGGAAAAGCUUAUGGUCGUAUGUAAUAGGCAGUGUCUUAUAGACGGGUAGCUUGCUUACACAAACAAAAUAUCAGAUACCCUAAAUGCUAUAUGCAUUUUUUUCAUUAGUAGUGGCAUACUUUCUUAGAUGCCGCACUCUGAAGAAAUCUGCUAGUUUGGAGAAACUAAAUCAGUGGAUUCCAUUAGAAAACCAAAACGUUCUAAGUAAAACUUUCUUACUGUGCCAGCUUGUUGCAACACAGUGGGUUUUUUGUGAGGCAGGCUCAGAUAAUACUAUUUGAAUAGAGCUGGAAUGGCCUUCAGCUGACUGUAUUUUUUUAAAUCCCACAUAAGGCUUUUCCCCAAGUGAGGUCUGUGGGUGUGGUGUUCUGGUGGUUUCGGUUUGGGAUUUUUUUGUUUGUUUUGUUUGGUUUUUUUUGUUGUUGUUGUUGGUUGGGUUUUCGUUUGUGUCUUUUUGUUUGUUGUGUUUUAAAUUUUUUUUUCUUUUUAACAGCUCAGCUUAUCUCAAAAGCUUUCAAUGGCUAUUCACUUGGGUCAGUAAAAGCACUUGCUGAAUAGGUCUUGUAUGAUAAACCCAUUCCAUGAUUCAC